UUUUGCAAACCCAGGUCAGAGUGGAAAAUUCCCCUAGGGCUCAGGCUGUGAGAAACAUCCUGCCGGGCAAGUCCUAAGCCCAACCGCCUGAUCUCAGGAAAUUCCUCACUUAGCAACAGCUAACCACCCUGCCCACCCCACUUCACAACAAGCCCAGAUCUCUCCCACCCGGACCUAAACUUACCCAGUCUGUAAGCGGGGGCGGGCUCUGGCCUUAGUUGGUGUCCCCCUCCGCGGGUGUUUGUUCGGUAAACCUGUGUUGCUGUAGAGCCGCCUCCGUCCGUUUUUCCUCCCGUUCCUGCGCUAACAAUGACAUUAUACCAAAUGUAACUGCUGGCCUAUCUAACAAAGAGAUUGCAGUGCAGAUGAGAAUGCAGCACUACUGAAGCUGGAUCGUAGAAUGCUUGUGGCUUCUUGCCUCCAUUACUUGGAAUUUCCAGUUCUGGGAAACAAACAGAAACACAACUACCAUGUUCUGAGAAGCUCAAGCCACAUGGAAAAAUUACGCACAGGGUCUCCAGGUGACAACUGCAGCUGAGCAGGCAUUUGAAAGCCAGCAUCAGCCAGGUUCCUUAAUUAAAGAUAACGUUUAAUCUGUUACCAAAGUCAUAUAUGACUUUUUGAACAGUUCUGUCAGUGGCACCUACAAGACAUACUUAACAUUAAAUAGAACGACAAGAUAAUCAAUUACAAGGUCUUGGAAACAAACCAACACACAAACCCAGAGGUGAUUUUACAAAUACACCUGUAGCAAGCUGGACAAAUGCCAGAGUUAAAUAACAACAGAAUAGUUAAGGAAACGCUUUGAAUGGAGGGAACCAGGAAGAAGAACUUGAUAACAGGACCUUGCAUAAUUAAUCGAUUGAUCACUGAACUUCAUUGUCAUAUUUCUACGGUCAAAUUUUGGGAGAAAGCUGUCGCAAAUUCAUCAGAGUGUAGCAAUGCCCGAGUUGUAACUGAGUUCCAUCUGGGUGAGCAGCCAGCUUAUAACAAUCUUGGAAAAGCUUGCAGGUUUCUCAAAAAAGCCUCAGAUAAAACCAAGAUAGAAAUUGUGCCUCAUAAUUGAUAUUUUGAGGAUUCCAUGAAGUAAUAAAUUUAUUAUGUGCUAAGAAAUAUGUGCCUGGUAUGUUGAUUUUUCUAAUUAUUAUUUUAUAUGUGAUAUAUACACAUACAUGUAGGUCAUAUAUAUAAAGUUAUGAUUCAUUCUAAAAG
rnacentral:lncRNA from 1 species